rnacentral:lncRNA from 1 species
CAACUUAGGCAGUUUCACAAUUCAGAUCAAAUCAGUUUCAAUUCCAAAAGCAACCAAAAACAUAUCAUCGAUCAAACAGGACUUUUAUCAUGAAUUUCAUAUGAACAUUAAUAAUCCAAAAUCAAGAACAUUUAACUAAACACAUCAACACAUCCGAUUCUAACAUUCACAAAGCCAAUCAAUGAGCAUCCAUUAAUCCGAUUUAGUUAGCAUAUUAACCGGUUACAAUCUGAUUUAAUCACGUAUGCAUAUAGCCGAUUACAAUCACCUAUAUCCGGUUCAUGAGCAAGCCAAUUUUAUGAACACUAACUAUCAUUGAUCAAAUCUUAAAAUCAUCAUGCAACAUAGACACUUCACAACCGGUAAUCAUACAUAAAUCAAGCAAACAUACUAACCGAUUACAAGUGAAGAAGGGUGAUCCGAACAAGAGGAGGAUCGGAUGGUCUUGUGCCGUCGGGUCCUAAGCAAACCGAGAGAGAGAGGUAGAGAGCAAUAGGGUUUGUGUGUGUUGUGAAAAUUGUAACAAUGAAAGAAACCAAACCCUUACCAAGGAUUUGUGUUUGCGAUGGGGAGUGGGCCGAGCCCAACUCGGGUAUCAAAUGGAGUCCGAUUUCAAGUGUGGCCCAAAGGGCUUGCGUGACCGGUUUGUGUAGUUUGGGCUCAUGCAACGCAUAACAUACAUACACACAUAACACACGUAAACA